rnacentral:lncRNA from 1 species
GGCCCUCCCGCGGCUUUCUGGGACUCGUAGUUCCGGGCCCUAGGCGCUGGCGCGGGUCAGUAUCACGAGUCCUGCGCUUCCAGGUAUCAGAUUCCACGUGAGAGGCGAGAAAGGCCUGGCAAGCAGCGCAGCCUGCGCAGCCGGUGGAGAGGCGUCUGGCGUUUGAGUCGUGGGAGUGUCGCCGGGAAUCUGUCCUUCCUGAAAGGAGAAAAUGACCAAGUUCCAGGUGAGUUGGGGUUACUCUUCUCUGAGAAUGGAAAUAUCCUUUCUUUUUUGGGAAGGACAUCAGCAUUAACUGAGUGUGUAUCUGGUGUCAGGUCCUGUCUUGGUUCUGGUUUUUUUUUUUUUUUUACUUUGUCGGACUUCAGCGUGAGACAUAUAGUGUUUAUCAAUGUGAGUAUAGGAACAUUAAGACACUAAGAGCAUAUAGCUAUCAAAUGAUGUCACUGGGGCCUGCACAAUCUGCUGACUUUAAAUGCUACCCCUGUUUUCACUGAACUACCCUGCCUCCUUUGAUUCACUCCUCAGAGGACUGGGCUAUGCUCUUUUAUUGAAAGACUUAACACAGCAUGUUUGGUCCAAUCUCUGGAAGCAUGCCUUUUCCUGCCAGACAUUUCUCUGACAUUGACAGUCAUCCAAAGCUGUUACAUAUUCAAUCUAGUGCUAAGUGGUCUCAGGAAAGCAAAUAGAAUUAUAAACUACGGUGCUUUUCUUCAUGAGCAUGUGAUGUGUGUGGAAAAAAAUAUGCACAUUAACAAUAAUCAUUUACUAAACUUGAGUUAAAGACACGAGAAAAUGUGUUACAUAACAGCUUAGUAAUUACCAUGUCACUCCCAGAAAUCCUCCUCAGCCAGGCUGUGCAUCAGAUUAUCUGUGGUGUUCUUUAAAAAUUAAAGGUUCCUAAGCAACAUUCCCCUAGACCACCUGAAAGGAGAAUUUCACUUCUUUUUUCUCUCUGAUCUUUGUACAACCCAAAGAUUUAUUGCAUUUAUUGUGAAGUAUUUCUCUGCAUACUUGAUGUGAGCAUCACUAAGGUAGAUAGGAUGGGUUGUUCAUCUUUUGAAUUCUGCUUGUUUUGUUCCCUUUAUCAACGUAUCUACAUUUUAAUUGGUACAAUGAAUUGUUGAAUUACCAUGUAGGCUUUUUUAAAAAGCUUGUCAUUUGUCUGCACAAAACCACUUCUAGAAAGCUACCUCAAGACUGACAGUAUCGUAGAGUGUUUGAAAAGGAAGGGAUUAACCAGCCACCAGGGAAGCCCCUCUUAGCUCUCUGCCUUGGUGCCAUCAUCUUACAGAGGAGAGCUCUAAUUCUGAGGGAGCAGAAUUCUUGUGUUUUAUUGCAGAGAACAGCAAAGUCAGAAGUCAACCCCAUGUUUUCUAACUUCGUGCUGUUUCUUCUCUGUAACUAAACAGGUCAUCACACCAGGAGUUAUUUGAAUAAAAUAUCAGGCUGGGUUUUUUUUUUUAAUAUU